UAGAGAGUGGUAAAAUGGAAUUGCAAGGGGUUUUGAUCUCCUAGGUAUAGGUUCAAAUCCUGUCUCUCUAA
rnacentral:tRNA from 1 species